ACGAUUGAUUUCGCGAACAUAUGCAUUACCCCAGUCCAUCAGAGUAACCUCUUCGUCCUGCUUGAAAGAUUGAGCAUCAGCUUGUUCAAUUAAAAUUUCAUUAGCAAAAAUGCUCUUCUUGUUCCCUAACUCUGGGUUCUUCUUAUGUCUGGGACGGUCUUCGGCAUAAGGAGCAGCAGGACCAUUAACUAUGGUAGCUUUGACAACAUCACCGCUUUCGACAGCUGUAUGGCGUGGAGCAACGGGAUCAAUGAUUUUCUUAUUGGUUGCCCAGAAAGAAGUCCAAUCCAAAGUAAGGAUGUUUUUACUAGGACCUUGAGAGACGAUGUAUUGUUGUAAUGCUUCAAUGGUCAUACCACGUCUACGGACACCACGAACGGUGGGGAAACGAGGAUCAUCCCAUCCCCAAACAAGACCGUGGUCAACAAUCUCAGUAAGCUUACGCUUACUUAACAAUGUACGUACAAAGUUCAUACGAGAAAAUUCCCAAACAUGGAUUUUACGGAGGUUCAUUGCCUUAAUCAUCCAUUGAUAUAAGGGAUUGCGAUCACGGUACUCAGUAGUGCGCAAUGCAUGUGUUACACCCUCGAGGGAGUCGACAAUGGGACAAGCAAAGUCAUAAGUAGGAUAAGCACGAUACUUGGUCCCAGUACGAUGGUGAGGUAAUAAAUUGCAACGGUAAAUGACGGGGUCGCGCAUUGCUUUGUUGGGAUUUUCAUAUGAAAUCUUGGCACGAAUGCAGUUCUUGAGACCGACGUCUGAACCCUUAUCCAUUUCAGAGAGAAUCUCUAGGGACUCCUCGAUAGGACGGUCACGAUGCUUGCUGGGAAUUCCUUCGGUACGCUCAUGGCGCAUAGUUUCAACGUCAGUAUCAUCAGCAUAAGCUUGGCCUGAUUUGAUCAUAUCAACGCAAUAUUGAUGAAUAGUGUCAAGAUAGUCAGAUGUAUAAGUGACGACGUCGGGCUUAAUACCGAGUAAGGCGACAUCCUCCAAAAUGGCGUCUUGAAAUUCUGAGUUUUCUUUACUAGGAUUGGUGUCAUCGAAACGAACAAUCAGUUUUCCGUGGUAUUUGUUAGCAAAAUAUUGAUUUAAAAGUGCGGCCUUUGCGUGUCCAAUGUGCAAAUAUCCACUAGGUUCGGGAGGAAAUCUGGUGACCACCUUACCAUCAAUGGCAUCAGGAAGACCGAUCUCGUAGUUAGGACCAGAAGAUUUUUGUUUUUUGCUAAUAUUAACUGCCUUGGUGAAUUCUUCCAUGGUGACACUCACGGCAUUUUGAGAAUCCAUAAACUUGUACCAACGAGCAAGGUUGAAAUACUGGCCAGUGCGUACGGCACCAGCUGCCAUGUUGUUUGAUUUUAAGGCACCCCAAAUAGAAAAAUCAGCAGAGGUGAGGGAAUAACCCACAAAAAGAGAGCGCAUAAUUAAAUGGUCGUCUAACUGAGCAAGAAGUGAAGAAAGCUCAAGAAAGUUGUGGUUACCAGCUAAGGCAGAGGCAGUUUCCACCCAACUCUCAACCAAAGAACGAUCGUUUUCGCCAAUGAAAAGUUUAGGAUAGACUUGAGAGAAAGUCUGUAAAGCCAACUUGGAACCGAAUACAGGAGAAUCAGAGCCGUUAAGCUGAAUGGAGACGUUCGAUUCCUUGUUUUGUUUGUCUAAUAAAGCAACGUCCUCAUACUUGACGGAAAUGCUUCCUGCACCAGACAGAUUCACAUAAUUUGCACAUGCAACUGCACCAUAAGCAAUGGGCUUUGCUUUUAAUGCAACACUAACUGACAUUUUCCCAAAACCGGUGGUGAAAAUUGUCGAACUUGGUUCGUGGUAAGUUGGUGUCGAAGUGAUUUUUAGGGUAUUAGUGUAUGGUAAAGGUAUGUUUGCAAAACACUAAAAAUCCAAACCAGAAAAAUUCGAACGCAGUACGAAGUUGACCGAAAAAAAAGGAUUCUAUUUAAGUACAAAUUAGAUUAUAGAUAAGGAAUUCAAGUUCAUGUCUGACCUUGAUUAAUUUUCUUUCCAGCAUUUUUCGCUAAUCUGCUAAUUUUAUACAGAUAUGAACCGAAACCGAGGGUUUCUCGUUAUACUGUUUACCAUUUUCUAACGUAAAUCGGUAUACCGAUAAGAAAAGAGAAUAGAUACAUAAUAACAGAGUGGAGUUGAAACAAUCAGAAGAAUGGAAGAAAAGUCAUUUUUUU
rnacentral:lncRNA from 1 species